rnacentral:lncRNA from 1 species
GAAUCUGCCCACCACUCAAGCCUGGGAAAGCUGGCAGAGGAUGCACGUGUUUUACUCACCUGAGUGUUUACAAUGCUCGUGAGGUGCCUCCCUGAUAGUACAGAGGAAUGAAGAAGGAAUAAACAGACCUUCUGGAUAAUUGCAUCAGCCUUCCCCACUAUUCCAAUGCCAUGCUAACAUUUCAAGUAAUGUCCCUUUUGUCUUGCUGAGAAAAAAUCAUUUCAUGAUUUAUUACACUGGAUUAAAGGCUAUGCACACUC